rnacentral:rRNA from 1 species
CCUACGGGUGACAGCAGUGGGGGAUAUUGCACAAUGGAGGAAACUCUGAUGCAGCGACGCCGCGUGAGGGAAGACGGUCUUCGGAUUGUAAACCUCUGUCUUUGGGGAAGAAAAUGACGGUACCCACAGAGUAAGCUGCGGCUAACCACGUGCCAGCAGCCGCGGUCAUACGUAGGGAGCGAGCGUUGUCCGGAAUUACUGGGGGAAAAGGGAGCGUAGGCGGGCGAGAAAGUUGAAUGUUAAAUCUACCGGCUUAACUGGUAGCUGCGUUCAAAACUUCUUGUCUGGAGUGAAGGAGAGGCAGGCGGAAUUCCUAGUGUAGCGGUGAAAUGCGUAGAUAUUAGGAGGAACACCAGUGGCGAAGGCGGCCUGCUGGGCUGUAACUGACGCUGAGGCUCGAAAGCGUGGGGAGCAAACAGGAUUAGAUACCCUGGUAGUC